GCUGCAACUUCUGUCAUUGAACACUCUUAGAUCCAUGCAGCUCACCAUGCUGGUGCCUUGGCCUCACCCGUUCACCCAGAGGGACUCUAGCCCUCGCAGAGUUAUGUUUUACCUACAAGGCUCUGCCUGUACCAGUUUGAUUGCUGGAUGAGGACUGAGAAUUCUCAACCCUGUCAUCACCCUGUUUGCCCCUCAGCUAGUCACAGCAUGCUGACAGCUCGGUUGGUUUGCAGUGUUGCUUGAGGCUUCAUUUCCUGGAAACAAGAAUUAUGAUGGCAGGAAAGUUUCCAGAUCACCCUACUUACACAUUCAAAUAGAGAUGAAAACCUAGCAGGAUUUUCUGGUAGCUCUCCAUUUCCUUUUUAUUUCUGUUAUCCUUUUACUAUGUCUUGCUGUAAAACUAGCAAAACUCUAAACCGUACUCACACCAGCUUCUCAGUGCCCUCUCUUUCCCUCUUACUGUCCUUUUUGAAGUCCUGUGCACCUGAUUUUCUCUACACAGGAACCAUCUGUGAUGUCUAGAAGUGCACCUGAAGUCAGAUGCUUGCUGUUCUUGUCAAGUGACAGCCCAACUAGGACACAGAUGUUUAGCCUCAUUUCCCAGAAUCCAGUGGGUUUUGGACGUUCUUCCAAAAGAUUUGUUCCAUUCCCUCCUCUUGCUCAAGCUCGCUUUUAACAAGCAACUCAACCUAGCAAGUCUUUUAUGCAAACAGCAAUUUCCUUUUGAAGCUCUCAGUGAAGGCUGUGUUUGUCACUUAGUGCUCUGGGAGGAAUUUGGGUAAACUGGACCAAAGACAAAAAUCUCUCUGUUCCCUCUUCCAGGAAGGUAUCGGAUUCCUGCAUUUCAUAUGCAUUUCUGUUCUUAGAAGGAGCUCAGUAGCAGUGGUAUUGUCAGGCUGUCCUUUCACAUUGAUUCCCAGCUCAACCACAUCCAAUUCACUCAUUAAAAUGACUCGUUGCCAUUGUUACUAAGUUCCAUCUAGAGGCUCAGGUGGGUCUCCAUGAGCCAAGCUGUUCUCCUCCCCCUACUAAAGGUUUAUCAUUAAUAGCAAAGGUUAUACAUGACAGACACAGCACUUGGGUCCAUCUGCUGUGACAAGUAAUGUUGUGCCAGCAGUUAGAGCUCACUGCCCUGUUUGGACUUGGCUCACUGUUGGAUCACAGUGCUGCCUCUGCAGGGGUAUAGGAAUGCAAACCUAGAAAUGGGGUUUGCAUUUAAAAUGUCAGUUCUGUCUCGCAGAAGCUGCAGGCAGAGGCAGAUAUGAUAGGUCUUUGUCAACUGCUUCUCAGGAAGUUGUGUGUUAACUGAGAACCAUCAAACACACAUCUUUCCUUGCAUGGGCUCCAGGGAUAAGUGCUUUUCCACAGCCACAUCCUACUUCUUUCUUCCUCUUGCUUCAUUGAGGCAACUAGGAUGAAACCAUCUGUGGGCUGAGAUGAUGAGCACAUGCCGAAGCUGCGUGGAAGGAGCUGCGGUGCUGCCAUCUUUUCCUAUCCGCCAGCAUCACUGCAGGGGCGGGCUAUUUCUGAUCUGUAUUCCUCUAAGGGAACUAUGGAUUUAUUUCUAGCUUAGACCAAAUUUUUCUGUUCUGAGUGUCCCAGUCAGUGCUCCCCACCGUGCUAUGACCGCUCCACCAGCCUGUUUUCAGCAGGUACUGAUAGCUGUGAUGUGCCAGGAGCCUUUGGAGGGCUGCCCGUGCAUUUUGUGAGCCCCGUUGCCACGAUACUGAAUGCAGAGCAGAUGUUUAUUUCAACAGAGAUGGCUUUGACUCCUUUUCAACUUUUCUCUCGAGCUGCCAUUGUGUGUGAAUACUUCUUCCCGGGAGCCAAGCGCUGUCAAGGCCCAACAGGCAGGCGUUGUUGCUGCAGCCAGCAUGGAGGGGAAUGGGCUUGAGACGCAUGUGGCAAAGCGGCACAAAGCAAGCUGGUGGCCCUGGCCUCUCAGGAGGGAAGGUGGAGGCUCUGGAGAGACUGGCUGACAACAGUUGUCUUCAUCAAAUCAUUGCUGCCUUGCUGCAGACCUGGACUAGCGUGGCUGGGUGCUGAGCUGAUGAGACCACCUCUUCUUGAGAGCAAUAGAAGCCAGACACUGAAAAAAGAUUGAAGAUGUGGUUCAAAAAGGCAAGGAGAUCCCUUUCUUUAGGACAAUAUUUCCAGAAAAUUAGAGCUUAUGAAGAACUCCUAGGAAAGAAAUGAAACUGCUAUGGACUCAUCUAGUAUCAUGGGCACCAAGCCUACUGGUCCUGUUAGCAAUUACCUCUGCCUGCCAGUGCAGGACAGUUCUUCCUGUCUCAGCUGGGUACUGUUUGGCCAAAUGUUAACCUCCCAGGUUGAAACUUCAAAAUGAGAACAGGCCUGUCAUGGGAGAACAAAGCCCAUCUACCACCAGCUCAUCUCUGGCUGGAGCCAAUGGCAGGGGCUUAGGGAAGCACAUGAGAAUGGAAUGAGCAGGGCAAUGCUUGCACUUGCCUGCAGGGAUUUGCAGCUCACAUACUUCCUCAAGCAGAGGUGCUAGUUUAUAAACAGUAUUUCCCAAUGUUGUUUUUCUUUUUUCUUCCAUUAAAUUGUCCAGUCACUUUUGGCCUGUAGCAAGGCAUUGCCAGCUUAACUAUAUCCUGUGUGAAGAAGUGCCUACUUUUGUUUGUUUUGAACUUGGCACCUGCUUGUUUGAUUUAAUGAUCCUUAGCCCUUGCAUUGAAGAUGGUGAACCAGGAUCGCUCACCUACCUUUCCCAUCCUAGGCAUUUACCUCAGCCUGGUUGCUUCCCUUAGAAGUACAGGGAGUGUCAAUUAUAAAAUAGUUCAGCCAUUUCUAAGAAGAUUGCAGGAAGAGGUAUCAUUUUGCUCUGCUAAGAAAUACCAUUUUGCCCCCUUGCUUUUGAGGGAGGACAUGGAACAUGGUAAAGCCAUCAUCCUUUUGUUAAGGAUGUGCCACUGUUGUCUCCUGGUGAAAAUGCACAAGUUUGCCAUAUUAUGUGAAAAAGCUCCAUUUAUGAACACUUAGUUGACACUGGCAGACUUUGUCAACUCAAUCGUCUACAUAAUCCAGUUGUGCUGAGGGAGGUCCUUGCACCCACUGUCCUGCAGAAUGACUGUGCUGGCUCCUCUGGAGGAUCACAGAGCUGGAGGUGGCUUUUGCCAAGCAAUCCUGGUGGCAUGGGAUUGCUGUCACCAUGCUGUGAACAAGGGGAACCUCUGCUUUAUGUCCUGGCACUCACCUGCAUACACCCAGGCUGCAGGAGGCUGAAAACAGCCACGUCUAGAGUGCAAAAGAACAGGGAAGGUCAGCUGGAUGCAGCAGGAGCUGGGGAGUGAUUGGUGGCAAAGAGGAUGGAUAUGGCAUGGAAAGGAAAAGUGGUCAGCAGAAGUGAUCUUGUCCAUCUGCAAGGCUUUAUAAUUUUAAAUUAUUAACCAGAUACAGAAGUAUCAAAGCUGUAAUAAGGGAUAGAGGAGAGCUACAUUGAGCUCCCAUGUUAGUGAGUAUCAGUAGUUUCUAGUGGCAGUGCUGGAAAUUCUGCAACUGCUGAAUAAGUUGCGUCUAAGACAAAGUGAUUGUCUAAUGCCUGUGAAUUGGAGAUGGAUUUAUGUCAAAGAACAGGGAAAUUAUAUCCUGGCAAAACCAUUUUCAUUCUUCCUUUUACAUCUCUGGUGUUCUCAUUAUUAGAAUAAAUAUGCAGCCCUUUUUUCCCCCUCAUCUCAGUCAUUUUCUAACCUUCACAACAUCUUUGGCACAGUAUUUCGAAUGUAAAAACAUGAAAGGCAUUGAUUUUUACCAGUUUGGGAUGCUGUAUUUCAGUUUUAUAUGAUACCACAUUAGCUGCGUUACUUGUAUUGUGAAAAAGGCUCCAGGAGAAAUAUGGAAUGCAUAUAUGCAUAUCCCAUAUAUGCAUAUCCCAUAUGCAUCAUAUGGGAUAGUCACCACAAGCAUUGCACCAGCCAGCUGAACUUUGCAAAGGCACUAGAGGGUUUUAAAUACUCCGAUCCACCCUGAUACGUGGAAGCUGGGUAUCACAUUUCCUAGGCAGAUGCAAGAGUCUGAUGUGGUCUUUGCUAAUGAUGAGUUUACAUCAGCUUUGCUGGAACUAGAUCAGACAUCCACUCCCUCCCUCACCCCAGUAAAUCUCCCUGAGGAGUGCUUGGAGUGCCACAAGAUGCAGUAUUUUUUUCUAUUAGCAGUGCAAGUAAUUACAUUCUAUUGAUUUAUGUUUCAUAGUUUGAGAGAAAUUUCAGCUACUUUUUGUUGUACGUGUAAACCAGCUAACCUGUUGCAGGCACUCUGUAAGACCCCAGGGUUUUUACUAGCUCCCUGCAGUCUUGUGAUGUAAACAUAGUUAUAUUUUCACACCAGCAACAGAAAAAUAGUACUUAAAUGUAUAAAACAGUAGAAGGUCUGACUUGGGUCACAUUGCUACUGCAAGGUCCUGCAAACUGUCCUAAGUGAAUUACAGACACAUUUUAAAUCUUGGAAAACAGCAACAAUUGGUAUUUACAAGGCGGCGUGGAAGGAGUAGGGAAGAUCUUUCAUACAACAAUAUCAGCAACUGACCAUCUGACUUAAUGCACAAAUUAGAACUCGCUAAUUACAGACUGGCAUACAAUAUUACAACCCUUUUCUUAGAUGUUAUGUUGCCAGCCUACCUCAAUUCACAGCCUGGCUUGAUGAUUCAGUCAUUACAUGACUAGCUGAUUAUUUAAGAUUCCCUGACAGAUUUUCUUCCCUGGCUGCACUCGCUGUAUCAUCCCGAGGUUUUCUGAGUGAGUAUGGUAUAAACAAGAGCUGCCUUUUUGCAGAACGCUUUGUUUUGUGUUGUCACUGCAGUUCUCCUGGCCAAUCUGCCAUGGGUGGGAGAUAACUACAGGUAUAAUUACUGUGGAGAAUACCUUGUUGCAUGCAAUCAUCUUGCGUUAACUAUUAAAUAAAUCUGUUACAGUCCCUUUCUUGUUAUGUUAAGCUGCAUGCAAGC